rnacentral:rRNA from 1 species
CCUACGGGUGGCAGCAGUAGGGAAUAUUGCUCAAUGGGGGAAACGCUGAAGCAGCAACGCCGCGUGGGGGAUGAAGGUUCUCGGGUUGUAAACUCCUUUUGGUAGAGAAGAUAAUGACGGUAUCGAACGAAUAAGCAGCGGCUAACUCCGUGCCAGCAGCCGUGGUAAUACGGAGGGUGCAAGCGUUACUCGGAAUAAGUGGGCGUAAAGAGCGCGUAGGCGGGAUAGCAAGUCAGCUGGGAAACCCGAGGGCCUAACCCUAGAACGGCAUUUGAAACUGUUCUUCUAGAGUAUGCGAGGGGUAGGUGGAAUGCUUGGUGUAGGGGUAAAAUGCGUAGAGAUCAAGAGGAAUACUGAUUGCGAAGGCGACCUGCUAGAACAUAACUGACGCUGAUGCGCGAAAGCGUGGGGAGCGAACAGGAUUAGAUACCCUAGUAGUC